GGGUAAACGCGAGCACCCGGCAGAGAAGCGGCACCACCAUCAGUGCGAUCACGAGCAUCGCGAAGCCUGGUUUGGUCGCGGAAAAUGCGCGGCAGGGGUGGAAAAGGGCCGACGUGAACGUACCACACAGCCUGUGCCUGGCUGGCUGCCCGCCGGUUUUCGGCAAGAGACGACACAGCAGCAGCAGCAGCAGCAGCAUCAGCAGCCUGUUCGUGACGAGCCCCAGAAUGCUCCUGGAGGGGGCUGACUCGGAAGGGGAGGGGGGGAGGCUCCAGAGUCGGCAUCCUCGGUUCUAGGGUGGAAACCACUGCCACCGACAACGAGGGUUGGUGGGGGAUUCAGAGAGGGCUAAAACGAGAGGUGGUUUGGUGGGAGGGAGAACAGUCGAUCCCUGGGGCACUACCAGGGGGAUUGGGGGUUGAUAUCGAGGGGCAGGGCUAGGUGGGCGAAGACGGAGAGGGCGCAGUGAUCCCGCGACCAUCAAACCAACAACACCGUCCCGACACAAAACGGCGCAUCCUGCUGCGCCCCCUUCUUCUUCUUCUGUCGCUUCUGCCGCUUCUGCUUCUUCUUCUUCGUCGACACGUCCUGUUCCAUCGUAGUCGGCCACGGCGGCGUCGACCGAAGUCGGCUCACGCAUCCUGACUUUCUUGCCGCUUUCAUCCAAGCAAGGUGUCGAACACGAUCCUCCACGAUGGAUUCCAUGGAGGUAUCCGAGAGAUUCAUCUCCUGGACCUGCUGGACGAUGGAGUAUGGUUCUCCAAUACGGUGACCGUGGCUGGAAGAGGAUCCAGGAGACGUUCGAUCAUCUACCAUUGGAUCCACGGAACACGGAAUUCAUUGGCAGAUACCAGGUAGAACCAUGCGGUUCGUCGGCCCGGUACCAGGGUUCUCAUGAAUGGAGGAGGGUUCGCCAGGAUCGAUGAAGAGGGCGUGCCUUCAGGGGAGGAUUGGUAUCCGUGACGUUUUCAACCCCACCUGAGAAGGCCGCAAACGGAGUGCACGUGCUCGAUUACGUCAUAAGGAUAGCCGGGACUGGAGCGAGAGUAAAGUCAUUCAGUGAUCCUGUAUCGCUGCUCGUUCCACGGUCAUAAGACUCCACUUCCGGUUCUCACCGUAACUGUAAAUUAAUGUCAACUUUACGUAACUCGUCGUCGAUGGGUUGACGGAGUAAAGACGGAUAGAGGAGGAAGAUACUGAAGAGGCUAGUGAAUAUUUCAGACUGUUGGUGGAUUUUACGCGGAGGAAGAUGGAAGAAGAAGUGAGAUGGUGGAAAAUACGAAGAUGCGUGAGUCUGUGCUCCUUGCGUUCACUGCGGGCUUCCAUGUGCCAACUUUUCAAAAUUCAUAAGGCACGCGGUGAAUGCCAAGAGCGGACCAAAUUCAACGUUCUCUAUCGCGAUACACGUCGACCGUAGUUGGCAGUUCACGGAUUUCGACGAUUUAACUGUGCUCGUUAUUUUUGCUACGACAGGUCAGUAAUGAGUUGAAAUUUUCAUGUCUGCGACUUUGAUUUUCAUUAUGUUCGACGAUUAAUUUAUUUUUCAUUUUCCCUCUUUUUCUAUUUUUUUUUAGUUUUAUAUCUUAAUAAUAGUAGACCGUAAAAGUGAAUCGUAGUAAUAGUUUUGAAUGAUUUCAAGUAGACGAGACUUCAGUAGUUCAGGAAAAUCCUUUUGUUUUUCAUUUUUUUUUUUUUUUAUUCCUCCUGCUAGAAUUUGUAGCACUUCGCCAAUCUGCCUUGUAUAGAUCUUCAGUUUGAUAACAGAGUGGGACUUUAAGUUUGUUGUAAAGUGAGAUCAUGUACAGUAACAGCUCCUCUUCGACUGUGUACAUAUGCAUUCUUUUUAACAAUAAAAAAAAAUAUCGUUUACUCCCGUCUAUUAUACCUGCGUCUCUCAAUCAUUUCUCCAUCACAAUUCUCUCUACUUCUUUCUCUUUCUUUUUCUACUCCCACCGAGUGCCUAACCAUAUCAGGUAAGGAACCUUGAACUUUCUCGCUCUCUCUCUCUCUCUCUCUCGGUCUCGGUAAUUUCACCCUGUGAAGAACCUUAUUCAACACGUCAAUUAAUUUUUCACAAUCUACGAACCGGCGAAGGUCCUCUAAUCCUCAUUACGUGGCCACGUACGAUCACAGUAGUAUAAAUUACAAUGCUUCGUCAACUUUUCCCAUUCUACCAUAAUCUAUACUCAUUUCAUUCCCAAUUUAUCACGACUUAUUUUUCCACCACGUUCGAGGUUUCCUUGGACGUAUUUUCAACCCUCAAAAGAUACCAAAAACGAUCCACGCAAUUCUACAAAACAACGAAGGGAGCCCUUCCUACGGUUUGUUCCCAAUCCCUCGACUUUCUCAAGGACAAACUCGUGAUCGAACCCAGCGAUGAUCGUAGAGCGGCAUCAACGAGCAGCAGAGACAUAGAGAGCAGGGUUAGCAAUCGUUUUAAGUGUCCCAGCGUGGCACGAGCGGCGAUAGGGGUGGGAUAGAGGGCUUAAAGUCAGCACCCCCGUAAUGGAAAUUGGGGAAUUCCCGAACGUACGACGAAAACGGCUGCUUGUAUCGACCGAGUCCUCAUCCGCGGAACGGGCAAAUACGAGCUGCCGGUGGCAAGAGGGGGUGACUGCUAGCAUAGGGGGGUGGCAAGGGGUGAACGGAGGUUUAAGGGUGGACGUGCGUUGCCUGGCAACCCAUCCCUUCUCGCCAGCAUCCCCUGGACCGCCGCGGCUCCGGCAACGAUGCCACGUUACCAAUACCAACCGCCGAUGCUCUGUGCUUCCACCUUCUACCGACGCGGCUCGAUUUUCCUCUACCCCGGUUAUACGUAUACCCUAUUAAAGGAAACGCGUUCUCACUCUACAGACCCGUCCAACACUCCAGCAGUUUCCUCCAUUAUUCAGGCCCGAUGCUCAACCACUGUCCCUUUUCGUCGGUUUCAUCCCUCCACCUGCCAGACGUAGCAUCCUCUCUCUUUUUCUUUAUUUCCAGCUUUCCACGGGGCACCGCGGAGUAUCUCCGCCGCGAAUAAUGGACGUCUGUGCACGCGAAUUAGAAACGACGAUCGCGAAACCAAGCGUACGCAAGCUUUCGUUAUCGGAAAAGCGGUUCGAUUGCAACGGGGGUUGGGGAGGAUACGCCGUUAUACUCGGGAUUUGAGACGAGUUGGUAAUAACGUAGAUUAUUCGAUCGGUGGAGAGAAUAUUUUGUAUACUCGAUUAUUAUAGAGAAGCUUUUUUAAAAAGAAAAAUUGCAAUUUAGAUUAUUCGGUUGUUAUUAUAGAUUAUCGGAAUUAGUUUGUUCUUAAAUUUGUAAAUAUAGUGUAGAAAUAAUGUAGAGAUGAUCGAGUUUUAGGUCUGAGAAAUCUAGAUUAUUUGAUUAUUAUUAUUAUCAUAGAAAAUUUUUUCUUUGCAAAUGGGGAUGAUAAAAACACGAACGUAGAGAAACGUGCCAUAAUUUCGAACCGUAAAAUACUUUGAAUUCGGAGAACAUAUUUUACUCGAUCGUUAUAAUGAGCUUUUAUCUUGCAAAUGUGUGUAAUGAGGAUAGCAAUAUAGGAGGACGUAACUGAGCUUUAAAGGAUCAUGAAUUUCGGUUGUCGUAUAAAGCUUGAUCGUAAUAAAGUAUUUUUUCCUGUAAGUUUAUAGAUUAACAGCAGAAUUUUUAAACCUAAUUUAGAUAUCGCGAGGUUUCACGUUUUCAAGAAUAUAAUUUUAUAAAUAUCGUGCGAUAUUCAAGAGUAACCUCCAUCGUCCGAUAUCGACAGAUCUAUCUUUGCUCCUCGCCGAGAGUAGCGAUUAUUAAUGACGCGAGUCUCGGCAUCGUUGCAAGAACCAAUAACAUCUUAGAUACGUAGAUUUACGUAGAUUACGUAGAUAUUAGAACGACCAAACUACUUUACCUUAUAUUUUAUUAGAACGAAUGUUUUCGAUUGAUCAAGAACUGUAAUUAAGGUUUGAGAGUGUAUAUGUAACGCAUUUGUGAAAGCAAGGUGUGUGACCGAUUUACUAAUAAUACAUUCGUAUGAAGAAACAUGUUUAAUUGCAUGAUGUAAUGUGGUUGGAAUAAACGAGCAUACGUAACCAAUGCAUCGCACAUUCUUUCCAGCGAUCCACAAAACGCAUCAAAAUGAUAAACCCGCUCC